AUACAGAGGGUGCAAGCGUUAAUCGGAAUUACUGGGCGUAAAGCGCGCGUAGGCGGUUUGUUAAGUUGGAUGUGAAAGCCCCGGGCUUAACCUGGGAGGGUCAUUCAAAACUGGCAGACUAGAGUGUGGUAGAGGGUAGUGGAAUUCCUAGUGUAGCGGUGAAAUGCGUAGAGAUUAGGAGGAACACCAGUGGCGAAGGCGACUGCCUGGACCAACACUGACGCUGAGGUGCGAAAGCGUGGGUAGCGAACAGGAGUAGAAACCCCAGUAGUCC
rnacentral:rRNA from 1 species